UGGGGAAUUUUGGACAAUGGGGGAAACCCUGAUCCAGCCAUCCCGCGUGUGCGAUGAAGGCCUUCGGGUUGUAAAGCACUUUUGGCAGGAAAGAAAGGUCAUGGGGUAAUACCCCGUGAAACUGACGGUACCUGCAGAAUAAGCACCGGCUAACUACGUGCCAGCAGCCGCGGUUAUACGGAGGGUGCAAGCGUUAAUCGGUAUUACGGGGCGUAAAGCGUGAGCAGGCGGUUCGGAAAGAAAGAUGUGAAAUCCCAGAGAUCAACUUUGGGACUGCAGUUAUAACUACCGGGCUAGAGUGUGUCAGAGAGCGGUGGAAUUCCGCGUGUGGCAGUGAACUGCGUAGAUAUGCAGAGGAACAACGAUGGAGAAGGCAGCCUCCUGGGAUAACACUGACGCUCAUGCACGAAGGCGUGGGUAGCAAACAGG
rnacentral:rRNA from 1 species